rnacentral:rRNA from 1 species
CCUACGGGAGGCUGCAGUGGGGAAUUUUGGACAAUGGGCGCAAGCCUGAUCCAGCCAUGCCGCGUGUCUGAAGAAGGCCUUCGGGUUGUAAAGGACUUUUGUCAGGGAAGAAAAGGCUUUUGAUAAUACCAGGAGCUGAUGACGGUACCUGAAGAAUAAGCACCGGCUAACUACGUGCCAGCAGCCGCGGUAAUACGUAGGGUGCGAGCGUUAAUCGGAAUUACUGGGCGUAAAGCGGGCGCAGACGGUUUGUUAAGCAGGAUGUGAAAUCCCCGGGCUCAACCUGGGAACUGCGUUCUGAACUGGCAGGCUAGAGUGUGUCAGAGGGGGGUAGAAUUCCACGUGUAGCAGUGAAAUGCGUAGAGAUGUGGAGGAAUACCGAUGGCGAAGGCAGCCCCCUGGGAUAACACUGACGUUCAUGCCCGAAAGCGUGGGUAGCAAACAGGAUUAGAUACCCUAGUAGUC